AUUGAACGCUUGCGGCAGGCCUAACCCAUGCAAGUCGAACGAGUGGCGGACGUGUGAGUAAUGUCUGUGAAACUGCCUUAUGGCUGUGGAUAACUACUGGAAACGGUAGCUAAUACCGCAUACCCUCGGAUGUGCCCAGAUGGGAUUAGCUAGUAGGUGGGGUAAAGGCUCACCUAGGCGACGAUCCCUAGCUGGUCUGAGAGGAUGACAAGACACACGGGAACGGAGACACGGCCCAGACUCCUAAGGGAGGCAGCAGUGGGGAAUAUUGCACAAGGGGAGCAAGCAUGAUGCAGCCAUGCCGCGUGUAUGAAGAAGGCCGUCGGGUUGUAAAGUACUUUCAGCGGGGAGGCGUUACCCGCAGAAGAAGCACCGGCUAACUCCGUGCCAGCAGCCGCGGUAAUUC
rnacentral:rRNA from 1 species